rnacentral:misc_RNA from 1 species
AAUUGGAAUAUGUAUGGGUCGUUUUUGUUCCCAGGUUUUUUAAACGAACUCCUGCUACGUGGAGGAGACGUUCCAUGCAUGGCUUUUGGGUUUUCUUUAAGGCUUUUUUUGUUAUAUUGCCUCUUUUUUUGAAACAAAAGUGACUGUCAUAACUUACAUUAUGGAAGUUCACACAAGCCAACUUCAGUCUACACAAAAAG